GGGGUGUGGCCUAGAGCUCUAAAGAGUCCUGAUACGUUCUGUAUAUAGAAAGCUAUUUCUAUGGCUUUGUUUGAAGAUCCUUUGGUGACUUUCAGGAAUGGACUGGAUUUCAUGGAUGAUCAUCUUAACACUUCUAGAAACUUUAAAAAAGCAUUUCCGAAACAAGGCAACAAGCAAACAUUAGCCUAAGAGGAAGCAAACAAGACUGUGUUACACAGAAAUCAAUGCAAGGACUUUCUUGGUCCUCAGCCUGAAUGGAGGAAGGAGGAAGGAUCACCAGUCACCAAGUUCAAACUUCCUAGAUUUGUGUCCUUUGUUUCAUGGCAGUUCCUUGCUUGCCAAGGCAGAACAAAGAAGAUGGGGUCUGUGUCACCUGGUUGCCUCACACACAUCCUCUCCCAAAACAACAAAAGUUCGGGGAAGUUUUGAGUUGGACCCGAACAUGUUUGUGAACCAUUCUCACCCCACAUAUUUGACUUACCCUCUAAUUGGGGUAAUUGUCUCCUGCUUUGCCUGUUGCUCAGGGGUCCCUUCUUUCCCUCAUCCUUCAGAGAUGC